AUGCUUUUUGAAGGGAAAGCCUCAGAGCCUGGCUGGGGAUGUGUGUUGGCAGCAGGCGGGUGAGCAGUGUGUGUGUUACCAACGCUCACCCCAUCCCAGAUGCCCCAUCCGGAUCCAGCACUUGAAGCUUCCUUUGAUUCUGACCCAGCCUGUGAGGAGUCUUGCAGUCCAGAUCUGGCCUGGGGGCCCAGGGGCCCAGAAGUUACAUGUUGCAGCAUCUAAUUGCUAAUUCUUGUACUGGAUCUAGCACUGAGCUGUCAAACAAACUCUUCUAAACUGUUCCUGUAUGGGAUGAAGUCAAACACUACAAUCAAGAACAGGGAGCCUCUCUCCCCUGCAUUCUUAAUAACCCUCUGCUGGCAUCUUGUGAGUGUAAGGGAAAAAGCCAUCUGAUUCAAAUGCAGGGGAGAAUAAAACCCAGCUGGGAGAAGGGAAAGGAGUGAACUGGGACUGUAGGGAAAGGGAGAAGAACUGGAAGUGACAAGGAUACCAGAACUGGAAGCCAUGGGUGAGGGGAGAAGCUGGGAAGAAAAGUCUUUCUUUUGGCGUCUAGUGCUUGACUCUCUAACCAUAAUGAUGUUUUUUCAACACAGUGUAUUUGCAUAUUGGUAAUUGACUCACUGGUGCAGGAAGUGCCAUCUAGUUUUGCGUUGUUAUGUAAGUAAAUACAAAUUCCAGAGUUCAGUUAAUGAAUGCUAUAACAAAAACAGGUUUUUCUUUAUAACCUCAGAUGGAUACAGAUACCUGGGAAGCAUAAGGAAACAGCAAGACAGCACUGAUUAGCAUGACAGGUUGUGCACUGCCUACAGAGCAAAAGAAAAAAAAAUAAGACUGCACUGUCAAAGAGUUCAAUAAAGGUUAAAUGAUUAUAGUGGAUGGUGAUGAAAUAAGAAAUAUGUUAGAGAUAUGAGCAGUCUAUGUUGCAAGUCAGCUGCAAACAUAUUAGAAAAUUUUAUAGAUGGUUAAAAGCAAUGAUUAUAAACAACACGUUGGAUUCUAUAUCGAUUACCAUUAUUAAAGCAUCUACUAAUCAUUGCUAA